rnacentral:rRNA from 1 species
UGGGGAAUAUUGCACAAUGGGGGAAACCCUGAUGCAGCAACGCCGCGUGAAGGAAGACGGUUUUCGGAUUGUAAACUUCUGUUCUUAGUGAAGGAUAAUGACGGUAGCUAAGGAGCAAGCCACGGCUAACUACGUGCCAGCAGCCGCGGUAAUACGUAGGUGGCAAGCGUUGUCCGGAAUUACUGGGUGUAAAGGGAGCGCAGGCGGGAGACCAAGUCAGCUGUGAAAACUACGGGCUUAACCUGUAGACUGCAGUUGAAAACUGGUUUUCUUGAGUGAAGUAGAGGUUGGCGGAAUUCCGAGUGUAGCGGUGAAAUGCGUAGAUAUUCGGAGGAACACCGGUGGCGAAGGCGGCCAACUGGGCUUUAACUGACGCUGAGGCUCGAAAGUGUGGGGAGCAAACAGGAUUAGAUACCC